AAAACACGUCAAGGAGCACAAGUCGCUCAAUAAUAUUCACAGAUUCAUUAAACCCUUCCAGGGCUCAGAUGCACUUUAGGUCAGCUGCAUCUGAAGAUGAUGCACCAACCAGGCUGUCAACACCAACUUCACUGGAGUCUCUUGCAUCGUCACAGAGCAUGUCGACAGGUACAAGUGGUUCAGGAGUAUUCACUGAUUCAUCAAACUCUUCUAAGGAUCAGGUCUGAACUUAAAUCACAAUCUUUUAACACAUCCUUAAAUCCAACCUCUUAUACCCUGCUUACUCUGUAUGUAGAGAGGAAACUGAAUAGGACCACUAACAGAACAACAAGAAAGUUUUGUUGGUCUAGUCAUGAAAAAUAGUCACUAAA